rnacentral:snoRNA from 1 species
UGCCUUUAUGUGUUGCCCAUCCAUUGCUCUCCACAAUGGAUGCGGUGUCAGAAAAGGCAUACAUCAAAUCUUGGUCCGGCCUUGGCAGGGUUCCCCAGCGGUGACCUUGUUCUAAGUUCUAUACCAAGAACAGAA